CGCACAUUGCGCCCUUUGGCAUUCCGAAGGGCAUGCCCGUUCGAGCGUCAUUAAAUCCAAUCAAGCCCGGCUUGGUAUUGGGCACCGGGGUCUCCCCGCGCCUCGAUUUCACCGGCUGGCCGUCGCCCGUCUUAGCGUUGUGACACACUUCUCGCUAGCGACAGGAGGCGGGCCACGCCGUUAAACACCCCCAAAUUUCCACGAAAUUUGAUCAAGGUUGACCUCGGAUCGGGUAGGAAUACCCGCUGAACUUAA
rnacentral:misc_RNA from 1 species